UAUAGCAGACAUAUCACCCUGCAACUCACAACUGGCAACCCACUGAAGCUAAGCAGGUGUGAGCCUGGUCAGUACCUGGAAGGGAGACCUCAUGGGAAAAACUAAGGUUGCUGCUGGAA
ensembl:rRNA 5S_rRNA 5S ribosomal RNA